rnacentral:sRNA from 1 species
AGUGUAACAGCAGGAUGAUAACAGAAUGAACAACAGUAAACAAAAAUCAAGAACUAAAGUUGAAUACUGAAUACUGAAUAGAUAAAGAGAAAUCCGGAUUAUAAAAAGUCUAGAACACAAGGUCUGCGAAAAUAAAACUAGAUAAAAACUUCUUGUCUGCGAAAAUGAGAAGUACAUGCUACUUAUAGCCAAAUAUCCCGAAACCCUAAUACUCAAAACGACGAAGUAUUUGGACGGGUUAAGAACUGUACUCGACCCAGGUGGUCGAGUGAGAGGUCGAGUGAAUAGCUGGAGUCUUCUUUUUUUCCUUGUGCUCGAGUGUCUGGUUGAGUGCGGAAUGAAGAAGGCUCUGAAGCUUGUCAUCGAGUAUGCAGUCGAGUGGUGUGAUGGUGAUACUCGACCUCUAGGUAGAGUGAUGAGGUCGAGUAGUGGUCUGGCAGUGAAGGUGAAGGCACUCGACCACGGG